GGAACGGUGUCCGAGUGGUUGAAGGAGCACGCCUGGAAAGCGUGUAUAGGGGCAACUCUAUCGAGGGUUCGAAUCCCUCCCGUUCCGCCA
rnacentral:tRNA from 2 species